rnacentral:rRNA from 1 species
UGAGCUUGAUCCUGGCUCAGGAUGAACGCUAGCGGCAGGCUUAACACAUGCAAGUCGAGGGGUAUUAGUUUUCGGACUAAGAGACCGGCGCACGGGUGCGUAACGCGUAUGCAAUCUACCUUUUACAGAGGGAUAGCCCAGAGAAAUUUGGAUUAAUACCUCAUAGUAUAAUGACUCGGCAUCGAGAUAUUAUUAAAGUCACAACGGUAAAAGAUGAGCAUGCGUCCCAUUAGCUAGUUGGUAAGGUAACGGCUUACCAAGGCUACGAUGGGUAGGGGUCCUGAGAGGGAGAUCCCCCACACUGGUACUGAGACACGGACCAGACUCCUACGGGAGGCAGCAGUGAGGAAUAUUGGACAAUGGGCGCAAGCCUGAUCCAGCCAUGCCGCGUGCAGGAUGACGGUCCUAUGGAUUGUAAACUGCUUUUAUACGAGAAGAAACACUGCUUCGUGAAGCAGCUGACGGUAUC